rnacentral:rRNA from 1 species
CAGCAGCCGCGGGUAUACGUAGGGCGCAAGCGUUAUCCGGAUUUAUUGGGCGUAAAGGGCUCGUAGGCGGCUCGUCGCGUCCGGUGUGAAAGUCCAUCGCUUAACGGUGGAUCUGCGCCGGGUACGGGCGGGCUGGAGUGCGGUAGGGGAGACUGGAAUUCCCGGUGUAACGGUGGAAUGUGUAGAUAUCGGGAAGAACACCGAUGGCGAAGGCAGGUCUCUGGGCCGUCACUGACGCUGAGGAGCGAAAGCGUGGGGAGCGAACAGGAUUAGAUACCCUGGUAGUCAAGGGCG